rnacentral:rRNA from 1 species
UACGUAGGGGGCAAGCGUUGUUCGGAAUUAUUGGGCGUAAAGGGCGCGUAGGCGGCCAUUCAAGUGACGGGUGAAAGCCCUCGGCUUAACCGAGGAACUGCCUGUCAGACUGGAUGGCUUGAGACCGGGAGAGGUGAGUGGAAUUCCCAGUGUAGCGGUGAAAUGCGUAGAUAUCAGGAGGAACACCGGUGGCGAAGGCGGGUCUCUGGGCCGAUACUGACGCUGAGGAGCGAAAGCGUGGGGAGCAAACAGG